CAGUCGAACGGGGGCAGGAGGAAACCUAGUGAAUCCUGCCCUAGUGGCGGACGGGUGAGUAACGCGUGGGCAACCUGCCGCAUACCGGGGGAUAACACUUAGAAAUAGGUGCUAAUACCGCAUAAGCGCACAGAGCCGCAUGGCUUGGUGUGAAAAACUCCGGUGGUAUGCGAUGGGCCCGCGUCUGAUUAGCUUGUUGGCGGGGCAGCGGCCCACCAAGGCGACGAUCAGUAGCCGGCCUGAGAGGGUGGACGGCCACAUUGGGACUGAGACACGGCCCAGACUCCUACGGGAGGCAGCAGUGGGGAAUAUUGCACAAUGGGGGGAACCCUGAUGCAGCGACGCCGCGUGAGUGAAGAAGUAUUUCGGUAUGUAAAGCUCUAUCAGCAGGGAAGAAAAUGACGGUACCUGACUAAGAAGCCCCGGCUAACUACGUGCCAGCAGCCGCGGUAAUACGUAGGGGGCAAGCGUUAUCCGGAUUUACUGGGUGUAAAGGGAGCGUAGACGGCAAGGCAAGCCUGGAGUGAAAGGCGGGGGCCCAACCCCCGGACUGCUCUGGGAACUGUCUAGCUAGAGUGCAGGAGGGGUAAGUGGAAUUCCUAGUGUAGCGGUGAAAUGCGUAGAUAUUAGGAGGAACACCAGUGGCGAAGGCGGCUUACUGGACUGUAACUGACGUUGAGGCUCGAAAGCGUGNGGAGCAAACAGGAUUAGAUACCCUGNUAGUCCACGCCGUAAACGAUGAUCACUAGGUGUCGGGUGUUAAGGAACGCUCGGUGCCG
rnacentral:rRNA from 1 species